rnacentral:rRNA from 1 species
UAGCCAUGCGAGUCGAGAGGGUUCGGCCCUCGGCGAACUGCUCAGUAACACGCUGGNAUAAUCUAACCUUAGGUGGAGCAUAACCUCGGGAAACUGAGAAUAAUACUCCAUAGAUCUUUGAGGCUGGAAUGCGCUUAGAUUGAAAGCUUCGGCGCCUAAGGAUGAGUCUGCGGACUAUCAGGUAGUAGUCAGGGUAAAGACCUGACUAGCCUACGACGGAUACGGGUUGUGAGAGCAAUAACCCGGAGAUGAUAUCUGAGACACGAUAUCAGGCCCUACGGGGCGCAGCAGGCGCGAAAACUUCACAAUGCGCGAAAGCGCGAUGAGGGGAUCCCAAGUGCUUGCACGUAAGUGUAAGCUGUUUUUCUGUCUAAAAAGCAGAGAGAGUAAGGGCUGGGUAAGACGGGUGCCAGCCGCCGCGGUAAUACCUGCAGCUCAAGUGGUGGCCGCUAUUAUUGGGCCUAAAACGUCCGUAGCCGGCUGAGUAAAUGCCUGGGUAAAUCGUGUGGCUUAACCAUACGAAUUCCGGGUAGACUGCUCAGCUUGGGACCGGAAGAAGUUAGAGGUACUCCUGGGGUAGGGGUGAAAUCCUGUAAUCCUGGGGGGACCACCAGUGGCGAAGGCGUCUAACUAGGACGGGUCUGACGGUGAGGGACGAANCCCUGGGGCGCAAACCGGAUUANAUACCCGGGUAGUCCAGGGUGUAAACGCUGCUUGCUUGAUGUUAGCUGGGCUCCNAGCUCGGCUAGU